rnacentral:rRNA from 1 species
GACGAACGCUGGCGGCGUGCCUAAUACAUGCAAGUAGAACGCUGAAGGAGGAGCUUGCUUCUCUGGAUGAGUUGCGAACGGGUGAGUAACGCGUAGGUAACCUGCCUGGUAGCGGGGGAUAACUAUCGGAAACGAUAGCUAAUACCGCACAAUAGCAGUUGUUGCAUGAUAACUGUUUGAAAGGUGCAAUUGCACCACUACCAGAUGGACCUGCGUUGUAUUAGCUAGUUGGUGGGGUAACGGCUCACCAAGGCGACGAUACAUAGCCGACCUGAGAGGGUGAUCGGCCACACUGGGACUGAGACACGGCCCAGACCCCUACGGGAGGCAGCAGUAGGGAAUCUUCGGCAAUAGACGGAAGUCUGACCGAGCAACGCCGCGUGAGUGAAGAAGGUUUUCGGAUCGUAAAGCUCUGUUGUAAGAGAAGAACGAGUGUGAGAGUGGAAAGUUCACACUGUGACGGUAUCUUACCAGAAAGGGACGGCUAACUACGUG